CUGCUCCUAGUACGAGAGGACCGGAGUGGACGAACCUCUGGUGUUCCGGUUGUCACGCCAGUGGCAUUGCCGGGUAGCUAUGUUCGGACGGGAUAACCGCUGAAAGCAUCUAAGCGGGAAGCCCCCCUCGAGAUGAGAUCUCACCGGACCUUCGGGUCCCUGAAGGGCCCUCGUAGACUACGAGGUUGAUAGGCAGGGUGUGUAAGCGCUGUGAGGCGUUGAGCUAACCUGUACUAAUUGCCCGUGCGGCUUGACCAUAUAACCGAG
rnacentral:rRNA from 1 species